GAGUUUGAUCCUGGCUCAGAUUGAACGCUGGCGGCAGGCUUAACACAUGCAAGUCGAGCGGUAACAGGGGUAGCUUGCUACCUGCUGACGAGCGGCGGACGGGUGAGUAACGCGUAGGAAUCUACCCAGUAGCGGGGGAUAGCCCGGGGAAACCCGGAUUAAUACCGCAUACGCCCCACGGGGGAAAGCAGGGGAUCUUUGGACCUUGCGCUAUUGGAUGAGCCUGCGUCGGAUUAGCUAGUUGGUGGGGUAAAGGCCUACCAAGGCGACGAUCCGUAGCUGGUCUGAGAGGAUGAUCAGCCACACCGGGACUGAGACACGGCCCGGACUCCUACGGGAGGCAGCAGUGGGGAAUAUUGGACAAUGGGGGCAACCCUGAUCCAGCCAUGCCGCGUGUGUGAAGAAGGCUUUCGGGUUGUAAAGCACUUUCAGUGGGGAGGAAAUGGUCAUGGUUAAUACCUGUGACAAUUGACGUUACCCACAGAAGAAGCACCGGCUAACUCCGUGCCAGCAGCCGCGGUAAUACGGAGGGUGCAAGCGUUAAUCGGAAUUACUGGGCGUAAAGCGCGCGUAGGCGGUCUGGUCAGUUGGGUGUGAAAUCCCCGGGCUUAACCUGGGAACUGCAUCCAAUACUGCCAGGCUGGAGUAUGGGAGAGGUAGUGGAAUCCACGUGUAGCGGUGAAAU
rnacentral:rRNA from 1 species